AGAAUUGGAGGGUGACCUGGCUAUGACAAGCCACCUCACUGAUUGUCAGUGUUUUUUCAACUGAUCUUACUGGCUUGCUGGGUGUCCCCUUUCUCCUCCACAGGUCAGAGCCUGUCCUUCCUGAAGCAGAAUGCUUGGUCAAAAAGUACACCCUUUUCCCUCUUAAUAUUAAAGAACUUUCCAUGUUGAUUUCUGCCUAGGUUUCAGAAUCUUAGUUUAUCUGAACCUGCUAGCAUUGAAAAAUGA
rnacentral:sRNA from 1 species